UCUGGUUGGAACCGGUUCCCGCCUUGUGGCCAGUCGGUGAGAGCGCGCUGUUCGGCAGAAGGUGAUCGAUCCUCCGUCCCGCCGAGCCCGCCAGCCGCCACCCGCCGCCAGCAGCCGAAAUGCCCCGCAAGGCGCCUGACGCUCCAAAGCCUGAAGAACUGAGGAGAUCAGCGCGAAAACGGCGAACUGUCAUGACAACUGCUCCAGCCAAGAAGGCACCAGCGAAGAAAGAUGCUGGGAAAGCUAAGAAACCAAAGGUCGUCAAAGGCAAAGCAAGUGACUCAAACCAGGAACCAAGCACUGCUCCUGCCCAAAAUGGAGAAAACAAGGAGGCUUGAGGAGCAAAGUUGCUGAUAGGCGAUGGUAUCAACAGCAUCUGGAAGGCUUAUCAAUUUCCUGCAACGUGUGCAGUUGAAAGGAAUAUUUUUAUCAGUUUUUAUAAAGGCAACUUUUUUUUUUACUUUUGAGUGAGCAAAUGUGGGUGCUUGCAUUGUUUUAUUUUGGAGAUUUUGUAUACAGAUUGCAUGUUGAAUUGCUUGAUAUUAAACUCCUUUUUGCUCCCACUCAAACCCCCCAAUUUUGACCAUUUUCUAUCUCUUCCAUCAGAUGAAGUUAUGUUUGCAAUGUCUAUUCAUGUUAAUGGCAGUUCCUGACCCCUGUGUGAAAUCAUUAUUUUCAGAUUUGGCAAUUUAAAAUUUAAAAACACUUUUUUUUAUAAUUACUGUUUGAAAAUGGAAAUAGUAGAAUCUCUUUUGGCUCAAAUGGAAUUUUUAAUUCCACGGAGUUUUAAAUUUGCUACUUAAAUAAAGUUGGAUAUUGUUUUGCUUGU